ensembl:lncRNA
UCAAUCAAAACAGUGCACUCUUGCUAUUGUGCCAGUGAAAGUAAAGGUCUCAAAUUCUGACAAAGUCAUAAAUACUCAUGCAUUUCUGGAUCCCGGUAGCUCAGCUACAUUUUGUACUGACUCACUGAAAAGAAAGUUAAACGUCUCUGGUAAAAACACCACAAUACUCUUGUGUACAAUGGGACAGGAGAAAAGUGUCCACAGCAGUAUAGUCUCUGGCCUUGAAGUCAGCAAUAUGGAAGGCCUGCUGUAUCAUAAACUCCCAGAAGUUUAUACUCAAACAAAAUUACCAGUUUCAAAACGACACAUACCAACACAAAAAUCACUAGAGAAAUGGAAAUACUUACAUGAGGUGAAGAUUCCACAAUUGGAUGCUGACAUUGAGUUGUUAAUAGGCACAAAUGCUGCAAAGCUUAUGGAGCCAUGGAAGGUGAUAAACAGUAGAGGUAAUGGGCCAUAUGCUGUUAACACACCAUUAGGAUGGGUCGUCAACGGGCUCAUGCAAGAAACAACAUGUCAAAUGCAAGGAAGUCACUCAUGUAUUGUAGUUAAUCGCAUAUCUGUAGCAGAUUUGAAUGACUUGUUGAUUAAACAGUAUCAUCAGGAUUUUCCAGAACUUGCAGCUGAGGAGAAAUCAGAGAUGUCAGUCGAAGACAAAAGGUUCAUGUCUAUGAUGGAAAGUUCAAAGGAACUGAGAAAUGGGCAUUAUUACUUACCGUUACCUUUUAAAGAAAAUGACGUAAUGAUGCCAAACAACUACCAACAGGCACAGCAACGUGUUAUGUCUCUGAAAAGAAAAUUUGACAAGAAUGAACGAUAUCAUAGAGAGUAUACUGCAUUUCUAGAAGGAAUGCUUGAAAAAGGUCACGCAGAAGCGGUGCCAGUUGAUGAACUGGAAACACAAAGUGGAAAGGUGUGGUACAUUCCACAUCAUGGAGUGCACCAUCCAAAGAAGGGCUCCCUAAGAGUUGUAUUCGAUUGCUCUGCAUCCUUCCAGGGAACAUCCUUGAAUAGCAAAUUAAUACAAGGUCCAAAUCUCACCAGUAAUCUGGUAGGUGUCUUGUUGCGUUUCCGCCAGGAGCCAAUCGCCCUUAUGGCAGAUGUGGAAAGCAUGUUUCACCAGGUAAGAGUUAUGGAGAAGCAUGUGGACUUUUUGCGCUUUCUAUGGUGGCCAAAUGGUGACAUAGGAUUACCUUUGAAAGAACACAGAAUGACAGUGCAUUUAUUUGGGGCAACAUCUUCACCAAGUUGUGCAAGUUUUGCCCUCAGACAAGCUGCCGAAGAUUUCAAAGAUCUCUUUUCGCCAGAAACGGUGGAAACAAUUAAGCAAGAUUUUUAUGUAGAUGAUUGCUUGAAAUCAGUGCCCACUGAAACUGAUGCUGUGAUGUUGCUAAAAGAGCUUGAAAAGGCUUGCUCAAUGGGAGGCUUUCGUUUGCACAAGUGGAUAAGUAACAGCAGAACAGUACUAAUGUCCAUCCCACAGGCAGCCAGAGCAAAGGAGGUCAAAGACCUUGACUUGGAAUCCAAUGAUCUUCCUACAGAAAGAACUCUUGGCAUACAAUGGCACAUAGAAAGAGACAAACUCACUUUCGCAGUGAGCCUGAAACAGCAGCCAUAUACUCGAAGAGGAAUACUGUCCAUCAUAUCCUCAGUAUACGAUCCUCUUGGCUUUAUCUGUCCAUUCGUCCUCACUGCUAAGAACAUUCUGCAAGAUCUUUGCAAGCUCAAUUUCGCCUGGGACAAAGACCUACCAGACCACUACAUAGAGAUGUGGCGUGAAUGGAUGGCAGGUCUAAGUUGCAUUGGGGAGCUCAGUGUCAACAGAUGUCUCAAGCCAAAGAGCUUUGGUCCAAUAACAUCUGCACAACUACACCACUUUAGUGACGCGUCUGAAAGUGGUUAUGGCUGUGUCACGUACCUUCGUCUCACAAAUUCAAAACUUGAAGUGCACACCUCAUUUAUAAUGGGGAAAUCACGAGUUGCACCACUGAAACAUACUACAAUGCCAAGAAUGGAACUCACUGCAGCAGUUCUUGCGGUAAGAAUGGAUAGAAUGAUCAAAUCAGAGUUACAACUUGCUCUUGAGAACUCCAUUUUCUGGACAGAUAGUACAUCAACAUUGAAGUACAUUCAGAAUGAGAACAAAAGAUUUAAAACAUUCGUGGCCAAUAGAGUGAACACAAUCAGAGAAUUUACCAAGGUAAAACAAUGGAGAUACAUAAACACUAAACAAAAUCCAGCAGAUUGUGCAUCUCGUGGUCUCAAGGCCAGUGCUCUUCUGAAUUCAAAGGCUUGGCUAAAUGGUCCAGAAUUCCUCAAAUGUCAUGAAUCUGAAUGGACAAAUUCCGACAUUUUCACACAAACGCAUGAAGGUGAUGAGGAUGCUGAUGUGGAAGUGAAGAAGGACGUUCUCAUCAUGAACUUAAUUGUAAAGGAAGAACAAAAUCCUACUCAUACAUUCAUACACUAUCACUCAAAUUGGAACAAUCUAACCAGAGCAGUAGCUUGGUUACUUAAGCUAAAGGACGUUCUCUUGCAACUAAGUCACAAACGAAAGGAAAUACUUACCAACACAAGUAAGAACUCAAAUGCAGAGAAAAAAUGUCUGAUGGAAAGAAAAAUGCAAAUCGUCAAAAAAUGUAUGAAUGUACAGCAGAUUA